GCCCGGAUGGCGGAAUUGGUAGACGCGCUGGACUUAAAAUCCAGUUUCCAUUGAGGAAGUACGGGUUCGACCCCCGUUCCGGGUA
rnacentral:tRNA from 1 species